CUGGCGGCGUGCCAUAUCAUGCACUUCGAGCGAAUGGAUUAAGAGCUUGCUCUUCUGAAGUUAGCGGCGGACGGGUGAGUAACACGUGGGUAACCUGCCCAUAAGACUGGGAUAACUCCGGGAAACCGGGGCUAAUACCGGAUAACAUUUUGAACUGCAUGGUUCGAAAUUGAAAGGCGGCUUCGGCUGUCACUUAUGGAUGGACCCGCGUCGCAUUAGCUAGUUGGUGAGGUAACGGCUCACCAAGGCAACGAUGCGUAGCCGACCUGAGAGGGUGAUCGGCCACACUGGGACUGAGACACGGCCCAGACUCCUACGGGAGGCAGCAGUAGGGAAUCUUCCGCAAUGGACGAAAGUCUGACGGAGCAACGCCGCGUGAGUGAUGAAGGCUUUCGGGUCGUAAAACUCUGUUGUUAGGGAAGAACAAGUGCUAGUUGAAUAAGCUGGCACCUUGACGGUACCUAACCAGAAAGCCACGGCUAACUACGUGCCAGCAGCCGCGGUAAUACGUAGGUGGCAAGCGUUAUCCGGAAUUAUUGGGCGUAAAGCGCGCGCAGGUGGUUUCUUAAGUCUGAUGUGAAAGCCCACGGCUCAACCGUGGAGGGUCAUUGGAAACUGGGAGACUUGAGUGCAGAAGAGGAAAGUGGAAUUCCAUGUGUAGCGGUGAAAUGCGUAGAGAUAUGGAGGGACACCAGUGGCGAAGGCGACUUUCUGGUCUGUACCUGACACUGAGGCGCGAAAGCGGGGGGAGCAAACCGGAUUUGAUACCCGGUUAUUCCACCCGUAAAACAUGAAUGCCUAGGGUUGGAGUGUUUCUCCCCCU
rnacentral:rRNA from 1 species